rnacentral:lncRNA from 1 species
CCUUGCUUCUGUUGUGUCCCAAAAGGUGCCCACUAACUGAUUCAGUCCAGGGCCGUCACCUUGAAAAUAAGAGUUAGGUUUACCAGUCAUUUUAAAAUAUCACAUAAAGGAUUCGUGGAUAAAUAACACGGGGUCCAUGCCUACCACGGAGUAUUAUUCAGCCUUAAGAAGGAAAGAAACUCUGACACCAGCUACCACAUGGAUGAACCUUGAGGACAUGAUGCUCAGUGAACUAAAGGACAAACACGGUAGGAUUCCACUUACAUGGAGCCCCCCGAGGAGUCAGAUUCAGAGAGGCAGAAAGUAGAAGGGUACCCGGGGCUGGAGGAGGGAGAUGGGGGAUUAGUGUUUAAAGGGGCCAGAGUCUCAGUUUGGGAAGAUGGAAAGUUCUGGACAUGAUGGUGGUAAUGGUUGUACAACAAUGUGAAGGCACUUAUUACCCUUAAACUGUAUAUUUAAAAGUGGUUAAGGCUGCAAAGUUUUUGUCAUGUGUAUUUUACCACAAUUAAAAAAAAAAUCACACAAAGGAACAGACCCGGGGCUGCUGGGGCCACCAGACUUCCUUUUUGAUCCGGGUGCUAAUUAAAAUGCACAGACAUCCAAACCAUUCUGCCCGGGAUGGGGGCGGCUGAGUCCCAGGCUCCCUUUGCCCACAGCCCACAGCCCAAAAUGCGAUGGUCACUUCUUUACCUGGCCUUGGGGGUGGAGGGAAGUGCAGACUCAGGGCAAAGACAGAGGGCAGCAUUUUAGCUAAAUUCCUGCCCCAGCAUUAACCCAGGGCUUCAGAUUUCUGGUGCUCAUUAACCACAGGGGAGGCGCCCACCAACUGUCUGGGACUGGACCAGCGUGUCUUUCCUUCCUGGGCAGCGGCAGCAGCCUUACACCUUCGGGAGAGGCGGCAAACGUUAGGACGGGUCUUUCUCUACUACAAAUCAGAGGCUGCGCAGAGAUGGGUUUGGUCCAAGACCAGGUCUGAGCCGACUGCCCUCUGCUCGUACUCUGCCCAGAAGGUGCCAGGAAGCUGGGAGCCCAGACGCAGAGAGCAGUCUCCUCCAGUGAAACCUGCCUUCACCUCCCAGAGAAUCAUUCCUUAUCAGGGAAACUGUCACACUCUUGGGACAGCAAAAAGGUAUUUCACAAACUAUUGAUCUGAGAAUUAAUAUAUUGCUUUUUUCCCAGACGCCACACCUCACUGCCACUGUAUGUACUCAAACCCCCCAGAGUAGCAUCGGGAGCAAACCAGAACCUACCAGGCUUUUAAUUACGUUUUACAUACUUUAUACUUUUAUGCUGGC